rnacentral:lncRNA from 1 species
CUCUGCAGCUGGGGACAGCGUUGGGGGCCCGCUUGAAUCAGACACAGUUGGUGGAGGGAGGAAUAUCAGGAAUACACCCUUCCACCACAUUUGUGUCUCCCUGGGAGGGCUUUGUAGAAAGAAUCUAAACAUUCUUUCGCCUUCCUGUCUUCGGACUGGACUGCACGAAUGGCAUGCUGAAGCUAUAUCCAAGAGAAAAAGAAGAGCUGAGACGUGUAUCCAUAGCACCUUCGUGCGUUUUCAUCUUGCUGAGUUUUCUCCUCUUCCCCUGCUACUUCCAGCACAUCUUGAUGUGGAAUCUCUGGCCCUUCACAUGAUUCCCCAGGGCAUUAAUCCAUUCAGCCCCUUCUGGGUCGUGCGUGAUAAAUCACAAUUUUCAACCUCAAGCCGUCCUAAAUCUUGCUUGUGCUCCAUUAAUGAAAUCAUCUCUUUUAUCUCAUCACUGCAGGUAAAAACAAUUUUCCAUAUGUUAUACCCUCUUAUCACGACUUCUAAAAUGCCGCCAUGGUUACAUACUGUCUGCUUUACAUUGGGAAAGCAGAAUGUCAGUGUACUAGAAAACAAUUCUAAAAAUCUGUAGCACUAUUCAUCAACCAGUCUCAGCUGCUAACUGAAUGAAUAAUUCCAUGAUUAAGAGCCGGG